rnacentral:rRNA from 1 species
GAUGAACGCUGGCGGCGUGCCUAAUACAUGCAAGUCGAGCGAACAGACGAGGAGCUUGCUCCUCUGACGUUAGCGGCGGACGGGUGAGUAACACGUGGAUAACCUACCUAUAAGACUGGGAUAACUUCGGGAAACCGGAGCUAAUACCGGAUAAUAUAUUGAACCGCAUGGUUCAAUAGUGAAAGACGGUUUUGCUGUCACUUAUAGAUGGAUCCGCGCCGCAUUAGCUAGUUGGUAAGGUAACGGCUUACCAAGGCAACGAGGCGUAGCCGACCUGAGAGGGUGAUCGGCCACACUGGAACUGAGACACGGUCCAGACUACUACGGGAGGCAGCAGUAGGGAAUCUUCCGCAAUGGGCGAAAGCCUGACGGAGCAACGCCGCGUGAGUGAUGAAGGUCUUCGGAUCGUAAAACUCUGUUAUUAGGGAAGAACAAAUGUGUAAGUAACUAUGCACGUCUUGACGGUACCUAAUCAGAAAGCCACGGCUAACUACGUG